GACGGAGCAACCGCCGCGUGAUGAUGAAGGUUUUUCGGAUGUUAAAAUUUUGUUGUUAGGGAAGGACAAGUACCGUUNGAUAAGGGCGGUACCUUGACGGUCCCUAACCAGAAAGCCACGGCUAANUACGUGCCAGCAGCCGCGGUAAUACGUAGGUGGCAAGCGUUGUCCGGAAUUAUUGGGCGUAAAGCGCGCGCAGGCGGUUUCUUAAGUCUGAUGUGAAAGCCCCCGGCUCAACCGGGGAGGGUCAUUGGAAACUGGGGAACUUGAGUGCAGAAGAGGAGAGUGGAAUUCCACGUGUAGCGGUGAAAUGCGUAGAGAUGUGGAGGAACACCAGUGGCGAAGGCGACUCUCUGGUCUGUAACUGACGCUGAGGCGCGAAAGCGUGGGGAGCGAACAGGAUUAGAUACCCUGGUAGUCCACGCCGUAAACGAUGAGUGCUAAGUGUUAGAGGGUUUCCGCCCUUUAGUGCUGCAGCAAACGCAUUAAGCACUCCGCCUGGGGAGUACGGUCGCAAGACUGAAACUCAAAGGAAUUGACGGGGGCCCGCACAAGCGGUGGAGCAUGUGGUUUAAUUCGAAGCAACGCGAAGAACCUUACCAGGUCUUGACAUCCUCUGACAACCCUAGAGAUAGGGCUUCCCCUUCGGGGGCAGAGUGACAGGUGGUGCAUGGUUGUCGUCAGCUCGUGUCGUGAGAUGUUGGGUUAAGUCCCGCAACGAGCGCAACCCUUGAUCUUAGUUGCCAGCAUUCAGUUGGGCACUCUAAGGUGACUGCCGGUGACAAACCGGAGGAAGGUGGGGAUGACGUCAAAUCAUCAUGCCCCUUAUGACCUGGGCUACACACGUGCUACAAUGGGCAGAACAAAGGGCAGCGAAGCCGCGAGGCUAAGCCAAUCCCACAAAUCUGUUCUCAG
rnacentral:rRNA from 1 species